AUUGUCCUGGCAGAGCGGCGAGCCGGUGAGUGUGGCUGCGGGGUCGCGCCCACCCUCUACCUGUGCCGGGGGCCGGAACCUGGCCCCGGGGAGGGCGCGGCCUCGGGGAGACGGCGUGCAGGCCCAGCACUGUUGGUCACCGCAGGCCUGUCUUCCUAUUCACCGUGGGCAGCAGAGGGAUGGCUGCUCAGCUGCUGACUGAUGAGGCACUGGAAUCAGUGACGUUCAGGGAUGUGACUGUGGACUUCACCCAGGAGGAGUGGCAGCAGCUGGAGCCUGCCCAGAAGGACCUGUACAGGGAUGUCAUGCUGGAGAACUACAGGAACCUGGUCUCACUGGUCCUCAGGUUCUGAAUCUUGUGCCUGGAGAACCAGAGAGGACCCUGGAGCAGGAGGAGAAAGAGAAGCUUGUCUCAGAAGCUCCACCUCCUCCUGGGGCAAUGCAGAGUCUCAGGCCUGAGCAGACACGGGGGCUGCUGGAGCCUGAGAGGACCAAGACUCUGCUGCCUCGGGAGAGCCGGGCCUGGGAGAAGCCUCCUCAUCCCGCCUGCACCAAAGACUGGGAGGCUGUGGAGGUUGGGGCCUCCAGCCAUGACAGUGAUGAGAAAGACCUGUCUUCUCAAGAGACUGGGCUUUCCCAGGAGUGGAGCUCGGUGGAGGAAGAUGACGAAUCAGAGGGCUCCCAGGGCUUUGUGGAGUGGUCAAAAGCUCCACAACAAACAACCAUAGUCUUGGUAGUGUGCGUGCUUUUUUUGUUCCUGGUUUUAACGGGGAUGCCUAUGAUGUUUCACAUUUAACUAUAAUGGUGGCUGUUGUUUUAAAAGUUUAAUUUAAUGAAAUAGAUGCCCUAUGUCAUGUUAAGGAAUUGUGCUAGUUAAAAAUCAGGAAUAGGUGUUGAAUAUUUUCAAAUGCCUUUCAAACAUCCUUUGAGAUGAUUUUUAAAAAAUUUUUGGUGUGAGUUUUCACAUACUUUAUUUCCAUGAAAUGAAGACAUCAUUGAUUGUAAAACAUUAUUUUGUAUACCACGGAGAAAGAAAAGUGCUAAUUAAUCAUUAAGAUGCCACCAACUGGAAGAUAUCUCCUGACUUUGAGAAGAUGAAAAAAUGUGCAACUGAAGAUCAAUGAAAUCUGGUACAUUUCCUAACAUCAAACCAACUUUGCAUUCUUAAGGUUUUGGUGCACCAGUCUUUUCAUACACUAGAUUAUAUUUAUUGAUAUUUUAUGUAGGAUUCUUGCCUCUAUCUUCACAUGUGAGAUUGGUGCUAUCUUUGUGAAGUUUUGGUAUCAUGGUUAAGCUUGCAUCAUAGAAAGACUUGGGUAACUUUUACCUUUUCUAUGCUUUUCAAUAGUUUCUGUAGCUUAGGAAGUAUCAGUCCCUUGACACCUUACAUGAAUUCAUUGUUAUAACCAGGUCAUAGAGUCAUGGAGAGAACGUUUCAGCUAAUUCUUGGGCAGCUUUCUUAGUUCUUUACAAUGUUAUCAGUUUAUUAAUACUUUUUACCUCUUGCAUUUAUUUUGGCGAAUUACAGAGGUUUUUGUUUUUUUUUUUUUUUGAGACCGAGUCUCACUCUGUCACCCAGUCUGGAGUGCAGUGGCGCCAUCUCGGCUCACUGUAAGCAGAGGGUUCAUGCCAUUCUCCUGCCUCAGCCUCCCAAGUAGCUGGGACUACAGGCGCCCACCACCAUGCCCAGCUAAUUUUUUGUAUUUUUAGUAGAGACGGGGUUUCACCGUGUUAGCCAGGAUGGUCUCGAUCUCCUGACCUCGUGAUCCGCCCGCCUUGGCCUCCCAAAGUGCUGGGAUUACAGAUGUGAGCCACCGUGCCCAGCCCAGAGUUCUUUUAUCCUCUAGAAAAUUCUUCAUUCCAUAGAGCUUUUUCAUAUUAUUAGCUUAAUUAUGCAUAAUGUUUUAUAAUUAAAAAUUUCUCUUUAUUUUGUUCUAUCCCCUGUUUCCUGUAAACUGCUGUUUGUGGUUUACUCGUUAUUAGAUUUGUCAAAGGUUUAUCUAGCUUACUAUUGUUUUUCCAAAGAACCAACAUUAGGAUUCAUUUAUAUCCAUUAUUUCUUUUAUUUGUAAUUUGUUUUUCUUUGAUAUGUAUUGCAUUUAUUUUUUAUUGUUUUUCUUCUUUGUCUCAGUUUUUAUACUGAAUACUUGAUUUAUAUUCUCUUUAUAUUUUCUAUAAUAGCAUACUUAUUAACGCAAAUGUACUUCUGGAUAUAGCGUUGGCCACAUCUUAACAUUUGAUUAUUCAUUUUUGUUUAUGUUGUCUAAAAAUUACAUUGUAGUGUGUCUAAAUAUUACAUUGUAGUGUUUCUAAAGAGUGCUUUGAAACUCAGUGAUUUGGUUUAUUUUUUGUUUAAAAAUAGUUUUGUUUUCUUGUUUUACUGCACUGUGAACACAGAAUGUGGCCUAUAACACAUCUGCUUCCAAAACUUUUUAAAAAGCUUUUAGUGUGGCCUAGAACAUGUCCAUUUUUUGUAAUUGUUUCACGAACAUUUAAGAUGAAGAUAUCUUCUCUGUCUGUAGAACUGAAAACUUUAUGUGCCUGUUAGUUAACUCAGUAUCGUCAAUUAUAUUGUUCAGAUUCAUGUGUUAUCUAAUUUUGGCCUAUUAUAUUCAUUAAAAACCAAUAAGGUUAUGUGAAACUUUGUUAGUACAAUUGUUUUUGCUAAUAAAUUUUUAUAAUCUUUGCUUUAUGUACUCAACAGCUGUGUAAUUCGAGGCAUAUAAGUGCAGCAUUGUUAUGUCCUUGUUAAUUAAAUAAUAUAUGUAAAACACCAUAUGACAAUGGCUGGCAGAUAGUAGGCACUCAAUAAAUGUUAAUUAAAACCUGA
rnacentral:lncRNA from 1 species